AUUGAACGCUGGCGGUAUGCUUAACACAUGCAAGUCGAACGGUAACAGGAGAGAGCUUGCUCUCUUGCUGACGAGUGGCGUAACGGGGUGGAGUAAUGCAUAGGAAUCUGCCUUAGAGUGGGGGAUAACUCGGGGAAACUCGAGCUAAUACCGCAUACGUCCUACGGGGUAAAGAGGGCCUCUACUUGUAAGCUCUCGCUUUAAGAUGAGCCUAUGUCGGAUUAGCUUGUUGGUGGGGUAAAGGCCUACCAAGGCAACGAUCCGUAGCUGGUCUGAGAGGAUGAUCAGCCACACUGGGACUGAGACACGGCCCAGACUCCUACGGGAGGCAGCAGUGGGGAAUAUUGGACAAUGGGCGCAAGCCUGAUCCAGCAAUACCGCGUGUGUGAAGAAGGCCUUCGGGUUGUAAAGCACUUUCAGUAGGGAGGAAAGGCCUAAGGUUAAUACCCUUAGGAGUUGACGUUACCUACAGAAGAAGCACCGGCUAACUCUGUG
rnacentral:rRNA from 1 species